rnacentral:rRNA from 1 species
UACGUAGGGUGCAAGCGUUGUCCGGAAUCAUUGGGCGUAAAGCGCGCGUAGGUGGCUUUGUAAGUCCGUUGUGAAAGUCAAAGGCUCAACCUUUGAAUGCCGAUGGAUACUGCGGAGCUAGAGUACGGAAGAGGCGAGUGGAAUUCCUGGUGUAGCGGUGGAAUGCGCAGAUAUCAGGAGGAACACCAAUAGCGAAGGCAGCUCGCUGGGACGUUACUGACCCUAAGGCGCGAAAGCGUGGGGAGCGAACAGG